rnacentral:misc_RNA from 1 species
GAUGAAGAACGCAGCGAAAUGCGAUAAGUAGUGUGAAUUGCAGAAUUCAGUGAAUCAUCGAAUCUUUGAACGCACGUUGCGCCCCUUGGUAUCCCGAGGGGCAUGCCUGUUCGAGCGUCAUUUCACCACUCAAGCCUGGCUUGGUGUUGGGCGACGUCCCCUUUGGGGACGCGCCUCGAAACGCUCGGCGGCGUGGCACCGGCUUUAAGCGUAGCAGAAUCUUUCGCUUUGGAAGUCGGGGCCCCGUCUGCCGGAAGACCUACUCGCAAGGUUGACCUCGGAUCAGGCAGGGAUACCCGCUGAACUUAAGCAUAUCAAUAAGCGGAGGA